rnacentral:rRNA from 1 species
GACGAACGCUGGCGGCGUGCUUAACACAUGCAAGUCGAACGGAAAGGCCCUGCUUUUGUGGGGUGCUCGAGUGGCGAACGGGUGAGUAACACGUGAGUAACCUGCCCUUGACUUUGGGAUAACUUCAGGAAACUGGGGCUAAUACCGGAUAGGAGCUCCUGCUGCAUGGUGGGGGUUGGAAAGUUUCGGCGGUUGGGGAUGGACUCGCGGCUUAUCAGCUUGUUGGUGGGGUAGUGGCUUACCAAGGCUUUGACGGGUAGCCGUCCUGAGAGGGUGACCGGCCACAGUGGGACUGAGAUACGGCCCAGACUCCUACGGGAGGCAGCAGUGGGGAAUAUUGCACAAUGGGCGGAAGCCUGAUGCAGCAACGCCGCGUGCGGGAUGACGGCCUUCGGGUUGUAAACCGCUUUCGCCUGUGACGAAGCGUGAGUGACGGUAAUGGGUAAAGAAGCACCGGCUAACUACGUG